CCCAGAACCUGUGAACAUGUGACCUUAUUUGGAAAUAGGGUCUUGCAGAUGUAAUCACAUUAUGAUGGGGUCACAAUGGAUGAGGGUGGGCCCUAAAUCCAACACCUGGUGUCCUUACAAGAAGAGGGAAGUUUGGACACGGAGAGACACAGACACACAGGCAGAAUGCCAUGCGAUGACAGAGGCAGAGAUCUGAGUGAUGUGUCUACAAACCAAGCAACGUCAAGGACUGCCAGCAGCCCCAGAAGCUGGAAGAGGCAGGAAGAAUCCUCCCUGAGGGCCUUCAGAGAGAGCGUGGCCCUGCUGGUGCCUUGAUUUUGGACUUCUGGCUUCUAGAAGUGUGCGAGAAUAAGGUUCUGUUGCUUGAAGCCACCUAGUCUGUGGUGCUUUGUUUUGACGGCCACAGGAAACCAGUAUUGGAGAUUUGGCCACCCCCGAGACAUGAAGUCAUUGGCAAGCUUGAAAUAUGGACACCUUAUCAUGAUUAAUCCUCUUCCACAUCUAUAAUUCAUAACGUUGAAGAGGAAGCGGAGGAAGAAAGAACUUUUGGAAAGGGGAGGGAAGAAAGUUGGAACAGCUUGAGAAAUAUCCGGCAGAAUUCCAUGGUACAAUGGAGAAACCAUCCAGAAAUCGAGAGCGGUCCUGCUAGAAUCAUCUGGGAGCAAGCUGGGAGGAGUCCUCAGGAGCUGCAGAAAGGACAGCUAAUGAAGAACACUGGGCUGGACACUGGGCAGAGUGGGUGACAAGCUCGUUAGUACCUAGGAGUUUGUUUUCAUUUUUCCCCUCGCAGCAAAACAAUUUGAAAGCGGAGACUAAAAAUUCAAUGUCUCAAUAUGGAGGAUUUGGGGGGGCGUAGUUGUACACGUUUGCAGUAGAUAAUGCCAGCUGCCCACCCAAUAUCCGUGUUUUCCCCUUUCUUUCUGUCUAACAGAGCUGUCAUAUGGUCUGGGGAUAUGACACCCAGCUAAAGAAAAAUCACUUCCCCAGGCUCCUUGCCCCCAAGGAAGCCCUGAGUGUAGCUUGGGCAUGGAGAGGAAGCUGCUUGGGACGGGCGGUCCUCCCUAAGUCAAAAGAACUCCCUUUUCCCGCCUUCUGCCUGGUUAUCCCUUUUUCUUUUUCCUGCUGGACGCUUGGUGGUCAUGAAAACUGAGUGCAUCAGGUGUCUUGUAAGAAGCAUGUUUUGUGGGAGAAACGUGCCAAAUGCAUUUAGAUCUCAUGGACUGAAAAAGUAAUAGUGGUUUCCAGUGAGUCAUGGUCUCAUGGGAAUUGCCUUAGAAUGCAGGCCUUGGUUUGUGAGCCAGCUGCCUCUCACAUGGUCAGCCUAUGCAGCGUUAGCUAAGGUGAUUGUCACCGUUUUAUUUAUUUAAUCAUAGUUAAUGCUUCUUCUAAGGAUUCCCAGGAAGCCUGGAUGAUAAUUUACAUAUCAUUAGACAGAAGCUUGUAGUGAUAUGUACAAAAGACAAGAGCCCGACUGUUGGCUAACCCAAUAUCCAUUUUCAAACCCGCUUCGCUCUUGCCCACUGCAGUUAGAGAGGCUGGAAAAACGAAUCAUCUUUCCCAGCCUCCUUUGUGGCCGAGUUGGCUGUGUGUCAUAGUUCUGGCCAAUGGGCCAUAAGCCGAAAUCUCAAGGGGAGGGUUCUAGGAAGGGACAGAUGUGGCUGCCUUGUUCUUCACUUCUUCCUGCCUUGAAUAAGAAUAUGAUGCUGAGUCUGGGGCAGCCAACCUGCCACCAUGAGUGUGAGGCCCUGAAAUGGACAGAAACCCUGUCAUUGACACUAUUGAGCGGCUGGACCAACACUUAAAGCCAAUUUCUGCAGACUCCUGAAUCAACUCUGUUUCCAUCCUUGUAAGUCUGAUUUUUCUCUUACUGGCAGCUCAAAGCAUUCCUGACUAAGACAAUGUGCAAAAUAAGAAAUACAAAUGGCCAAUAGGAUAUGAAAAAAAUUCAGCUUCAAUGAUAAACAAAGGAAUGGAAUUUGGCAAAGAUGUUGAAAUGAUGAUCACACUGCGUGCUGGUAGGAUGUUGUGAGAUAAGUAUUCUCAUUUCCUGCUGGUGACAUUAUAAACUGGUACGGGGUUUCUCCAAAGAUGUGGAUGAAGCUAUGAAGAGCCUUCAAAAUAUUACUACCCUUUGACCAAGUAAUUUCACUCUUGGGAAUUAUCCAAAGGAAAUAGCAACAAGGACACAGACUUACAUGCAUUGUGAUCCAAACUCCGUAAGAAAGAAAAAAAAAGGUAUCUUCAUAGAUAUGUAGACUGCAGGAAAUAAGACAAAAACGUUUGGAAUUGUUAUCUCUUGUUUUGAGUGAUAUUUUGUUUUUUCUUUUUCAAAUUUUUUAGAAAGAACAUGUUUAUUUGGAAAUUAGGAAAACACAACAAAAGUCACUUAAAAGACUAAUACCACCGAAUGCUCACAUCUCUGUCCUUAGAAUUUUUCUACUUUUGUGGAAAUAACAGCCAAGUAUCUUCAGAGUCUUUGGUUACAGGUCUUUCUUUUCAUUUACUUUUAAAUUUCUCACUGAGAGACAGAAUUUACCAGAGUCAUCCUGUGAAACGCUGGGGGUGACUGCACACAUUCAUAUGCUAUUCGAACUGGAUGAUGGUCCUGGGAGGUAAGGAAAGAUGCUAUUAUCCCCAUUUUACUGUUAGGAAAGAAAAAGAAAGGAACUGGGUGUCUUCCUGAGAGUCAUUCUACCUGUGGGAGGCAGAGCUGGGGCCUGACACAGAUUCACUGAUUCUAAGCCCUGAGCUCCUGUUUCGACACCAGGAUUUCUAUCACGCACGGGAGAAACACACACCCAAUUAGAGCCACAGCUAAAAUUCCCUGUAAUUGCAAAAGAGAGCAAGGAGAGAAGCUGGUUUUAUGUCCAGACCGGAAAAGGGGGAGGGAGGCAACUGCAAGCUGCACAAAUUAUACACAUUCCAAAUGCUUAUUUAUACAAACCCCUCCACUCCACCCUCCACCCACGUCUGUAAUGUAACCAACAUGCAAAAACGAAAAUCUGUUUUUGAGCCAGGUGCCAAAAUAAUCAUUGUUAAUACAGAAUAAACAACAAGUACGUUAUAUUGUUUAGGUCUGCAUCGGGGACUUAGAAGCGUUUGGGAAUUAAAAUUGCGUUUGAUACAUAGGAUGCACAAAAUCACGUUUAUACAAAUGAUGGACAGAAUUUAUUCAAGUGGCUGUGUUCACAUGAGUUUCCAUUCUUUCCACUGACACGUGGUGCCACGACCAAAAUUUAAUUCUGGAAAUUAACUUUUCCCUUAGAGAUGGGUGGAACUGAGUAUACUGUGGGCUACAAUAUUCUUAAAUAAUAUUGUGUAUAUGAAAGAGAUGGUUAAUUAUGAGCAACAGUGGAGUUCUUUAAAACCGAACUAUACAUGACAGAAAGCUGGCAAAUUCCUCUUGAAAGUAACCAGGCACAUAAAAUUGUCUUCUGUGUCAAGUUUUCAGUGCCCCAGCCCACUUCCUGUGCAGCACGGCCCUGCGCGGACAGGGCGUGGGUGAGGAAGGCACUUGGCUUCUGGCCAUUGCUCCUGCCCUAACUAGUUGGCAGCCCUCCCCUCGCUAAACACCCAUGCAAAGCAAACUCAGACCCAUUAGAAGUAAGAGGGUGAGGAUAUUCCAUUUCUUCGUGGACCACUGCUUGAUUUUCGUUAAACUCACUCAGAUUUAUUUUACACCCUGGACACCUGAGUUUGCGCUUAUUUUCAAGUUGUCAAGGAAUCUUUUCAGAAAUGAAAAAACACGGCUGUUCUAUUUACAUAGACCUUUUAGUUUUCUUCUCACUCUCUCCCUGUAAGUUCUUUUCGCCCUCGUUUUCAAUUUAUUACCUUUUAAGUAUCCUUAAGUAGCAGAUGUUUAAACACCUUUUAAUCGGAGAAACUGCAAGUGUAAUUGCUGGGUUUGGCAGGAAGCAGGUCCCGGAGCCCCUGGCCGGCUGAUAGCUGUGUUCUGCAGGCAGUGGCAUCUCACCGUAGAAGCAGCGAGACCGGAUCGCAGCCUCCAGACAUCUUCUGGCAAGUUCUGGAGAAGUUUUGCAAUUAACCAGUGGAAUUGGCAUGAAUUGAAAGGAUGCGUAAGGAAAACAUCAGUUCCUGCUGUCAUACCGGCUUCAAGCUCCAGCACCAGAAACAACGACAACAGCCUCAUGGAGACUAUUUAACCAGCUCCUACAGCUGUGUACAGCAAACAUGGAUCUACUUUGCCAAGUCUUUUCCCAUGAUGCUGAUGCCUCCGCGCAGACCUUCUUGCUCCAUCGCUGUCUCUUUGCCCCUCCACCAUGCUGACCAGGACUGUUGCAAGAGACCCUCAACUGCUCUCCUUGCCUCCAUCCUCACCUCCUCGAAUUCCUUCUCUACACUUAAGCCACUGAGCCUUUUAAAAUGCAAAUCUGACUAUGUCACUCUUGGGGCCAAAAGCCACCCAUUGUGUCCAUUGGCCCUUUGGAUGAAAUUCAAAGCCAUAGUCCUGACUUCCUGGCCUGCACAACCUUGACUCCCUCCUCUUGGACCCUAUGUGUCAGCCCAGCCACUCUGAACUUCUUUCUAUAACUUCUGUGCUCACUCCCUUUGCCUGGAAACCACCUCCCCCCACUCCCCACUCUUCUACACCACCCGGGGGGAGCCUUGUCUAUGUUGUCCGUGUCCCGUCGUCACCCCCCAUCACGCCCCCACCGCCCCAGCUCAGUGUGAAUGCCCUUUCGUGAUCCCAUUAGAUGAUGUUGGGGGCUUCUGCUCUGUAUCCCAACUCCUCAAGCCCUACCCCCCUAAUAUAAUAAAAUUCAUGUCCGC
rnacentral:lncRNA from 1 species